UACGUAGGGGGCAAGCGUUGUCCGGAUUUAUUGGGCGUACAGAGCGUGUAGGCGGCCACACAGGUCCGCUGUGAAAACUCGAGGCUCAACCUCGAGCUGUCGGUGGAAACCGUGUGGCUAGAGUCCGGAAGAGGAGAGUGGAAUUCCCGGUGUAGCGGUGAAAUGCGCAGAUAUCGGGAAGAACACCCGUGGCGAAGGCGGCUCUCUGGGACGGUACUGACGCUGAGACGCGAAAGCGUGGGGAGCGAACAGG
rnacentral:rRNA from 1 species